UACGAAGGGGCUAGCGUUGCUCGGAAUCACUGGGCGUAAAGGGUGCGUAGGCGGGUCUUUAAGUCAGGGUGAAAUCCUGGAGCUCAACUCCAGAACUGCCUUUGAUACUGAAGAUCUUGAGUUCGGGAGAGGUGAGUGGAACUGCGAGUGUAGAGGUGAAAUUCGUAGAUAUUCGCAAGAACACCGACGGCGCAGGCAGCGUCCUGGCCGCUUGCUGACACUGAGGCACGAAAGCUGGGGAGCAAACAGG
rnacentral:rRNA from 1 species